UUUUUAAAUUGCUGUAGUAUUUUGACUAUACAAAGGUAUUGAAAUAAGAUUUUAAUUGAAUGCUAAGAGAAUGGAAUUUCAGAAAAAAACUUUUUUUAAAUUAAAAAUUGAAAUUUUUUUAAUUUGUGCAGAAACAAUUAUUAACAUUAAGGACAAGAAGACCCUAUGAAUUUUUGAAAUUUUUAAUAAUAGUAAUUUAUUAUUAUUAAAAAUUUUAGCUGGGGCGGCUAAAAAAUAUAAUUAACUUUUUAAAAAUAAAACGAUCCACUAAUAAUGAUUACAUGUUAAAUACUCUAGGGAUAACAGCGUUAUAUUUUUUGAUAGACCAUAUUGACAAAAAAGUUUGCGACCUCGAUGUUGGAUUAGGAUACUUUUUUAAUGAAGAUAUUAAAAAAGAAGUUUGUUCAACUUUUAAUUUCCUACUUGAUCUGAGUUCAGACCGG
rnacentral:rRNA from 1 species